UACGUAGGGUGCAAGCGUUGUCCGGAAUCAUUGGGCGUAAAGAGCGCGUAGGCGGCCCUGUAAGUCCGCUGUGAAAGUCAAGGGCUCAACCCUUGAAUGCCGGUGGAUACUGCAGGGCUAGAGUCCGGAAGAGGCGAGUGGAAUUCCUGGUGUAGCGGUGAAAUGCGCAGAUAUCAGGAGGAACACCGAUGGGCGAAGGCAGGUCUCUGGGCCACUACUGACGGCUGAGAAGCGAAAGCGUGGGGAGCGAACAGG
rnacentral:rRNA from 1 species